CCUGAUAGCUUAGUUGGUAAAGAAUCUACCUGCAAUGCAGGAGACCCUGGUUCAAUUCCUGGGUCAGGA
rnacentral:tRNA from 1 species